AGAAGUAGGCCGAGUCGUCAGCGAACAAGGCCA
rnacentral:sRNA from 1 species